rnacentral:rRNA from 1 species
UACGAAGGGGCUAGCGUUGCUCGGAAUCACUGGGCGUAAAGGGUGCGUAGGCGGGUCUUUAAGUCAGAGGUGAAAUCCUGGAGCUCAACUCCAGAACUGCCUUGAUACUGAGGAUCUUGAGUAUGGGAGAGGUGAGUGGAACUGCGAGUGUAGAGGUGAAAUUCGUAGAUAUUCGCAAGAACACCAGUGGCGAAGGCGGCUCACU